rnacentral:tRNA from 1 species
GGGCCCUUAGCUCAGCUGGAUUUAGAGCAGGGAACUUCUAAUUCUCAGGUCGGGGGUUCGAGUCCUCCAGGGCUCGCCA